rnacentral:rRNA from 1 species
CCAAGGAGUCUAACAUGUCCGCGAGUCAUUGGGACCGCAAAACCUAAAGGCGAAAUGAAAGUGAAGGUCGACCUUGCGUCGACUGAGGGAGGAUGGGUUGCGUCACGAUGCAGCCCCGCACUCCCGGGGCGUCUCGUACUCAUUGCGAGUAGAGGCGCACCCAGAGCGUACACGUUGGGACCCGAAAGAUGGUGAACUAUGCCUGGCCAGGACGAAGUCAGGGGAAACCCUGAUGGAGGUCCGUAGCGAUUCUGACGUGCAAAUCGAUCGUAGGAGCUGGGUAUAGGGGCGAAAGACUAAUCGAACCAUCUAGUAGCUGGUUCCCUCCGAAGUUUCCCUCAGGAUAGCUGGCACUCGCGUGAAGCGAGUCUCAUCUGGUAAAGCGAAUGAUUAGAGGCCUUGGGGCCGAAACGACCUCAACCUAUUCUCAAACUUUAAAUGGGUGAGAUCUCUGGCUUGCUUGAACAGUGAAGCCACGAGAUUUUUCGGAUCAGAGUGCCAAGUGGGCCAAUUUU